rnacentral:rRNA from 1 species
GGGUCUAUCCAUUGGUCGGGCUUUACGGUCCGUACUGGUUCGAUGGGUUCCUACCUUCUGAAUAACCGGCAUGCCAUUCAGUUGGUGCGCCGGGGAAGCAGAGCUAUUACCUUGAAAAAAUUAGAGUGCUUAAAGCAGGCUAUUGCUUGAAUAGAUUAGCAUGGAAUAAUAAAAUAGGACGGCAUGGUUCUAUUUUGUUGGUCUCUAGGAUCACCGUA